UGCGCAGGUGGCCAAGUGUGUGAGGCGUGAAAGCCUGGAGCUUAACUCCAGAAUUGCACCUCAAACUACAUGGCUAGAGCAUUGGAGAGGGUAGCAGAAUUCAUGGUGUAGCAGUGAAAUGCGUAGAUAUCAUGAGGAACACCAGAGGCGAAGGCGGCUACCUGGACAAUUGCUGACACUCAGGCACGAAAGCGUGGGGAGCAAAAGGGAUUAGAUACCCCUGUAGUCCACGCCCUAAACGGUGCACACUAGGUCUUGGCGGAUUCGACCCCACCAGGGCCCAAGCUAACGCGUUAAGUGUGCCGCCUGAGGACUACGGCCGCAAGGCUAAA
rnacentral:rRNA from 1 species